GGUUGCAUUUUCUUUCAUGAAUGAGUUUGUUUUCGUGCACAAAUGGAAAAUGCAUGACUCAAAACUUAGCUGACAGUUAGUAAGAUUGACUUGUGUAAGUCAAUUUGAUGAUCAUGCUAAGCUAAAACUGAGAGAUCAAUCAAAAAUCAGUUUGUGUUCUGGUACAUAAAAUGCGAAUCUGGGUUUACAAUACUGAUUUAGUGUUAGCAUUUUCUUAGACCUAAUAAGGCUUCCCGGUGGUUUAAAUCGCAAGUCCAACUGCAUUCUUACUUGAUAUUAUGAUUUUGAGGGUUGAUACGCUUAGGAUUUUGAAGAAUUGGCAAGUCGUAUACAACCUGGUAUAUAUGGUUUUGAGGCAUUUUGUUUUACAAAUUAUGUCUCUUUCAUCUGCUCCACCAAGGUAGUUCUAAGAGUAUCUUAUCCAGUUGUCUGAUCUUAAUUUAAGUUGGGGCCUCUAAUUGUUGAAGGCUCUAAAAUUAGUGAACACUGACAUUGUAUCAUGUAAAAACUUGGUACUUCUGAUUUUUCUGAUAUAAUCAGGUUAUGCUGCAUUUUAGAAAAGAAUGAUAAGGUUGCCUUCACUGAGCACUGAGAAAAUCAUACUGAUGACAGGUACCUCUUCAAGUAGUACCACCGUUGGAUGCAAGUUUGCUGAAUGGUUUGAAGCUUGGGCUUGAAGGUGAACAUCAAUAUAUGAAUGCUGGUCUUGCUGUUGCUCUAAGUUCUACUUGGCUUCAGAGGACCAGUCAACUCGGAAUUAACUACCUGGAUACAACAGUAUGUUCUUUUCAUAUGAGUUUGGCAUUUUUUCUUCUACUUUGUGACUCAGGCAUAUGUUCUCUUGUUAUAUUGGUUUCCUCUUUCACCUUAUGUUGUAUUUAUCUGCAUGGCGCAGAGUCCGCUUCCUGAGCAGUUCAUCAAAGGUCUAACAAUGGCCAACCUGCAAGGACGGGCUCAGAUUGUUCCUGAUCGAUAUACAAACUCUGAAACAUCUGGAGAUCUGGUGUUCUAUUUGGAUGGAGCACAUAGUCCUGAAAGCAUGGAAAUAUGUGCAAGAUGGUUUUCUCUGGCAAUUAAGGAGGAAAAUCAGCAAGAAACCUUUGAUUUUCAACCACCAAAUAGUUCUGGAUCUUCCAAUGGAUUGCCACAGAGACAGCAUGAUGGAAAAAUUAGAAAGAACUCUGCACAGGUAGAGAAAGUGGCGUCAUGCUUCAAGAGUAUAUAUGCUUUAAUUGGUAAAUCCACUCUGAUUGAUUUCUAUACUCCAAAACCACAGGAGAACUCGUAAUUUAGUUACGCAAAUUCUUUAAAGUAGAGAAUAUAGGUGCUUCAGGUCACAUGCCUUUUCCAGUGACAGCAGAUCAUAUGCUUUAAAUGAAGAGAGCCACUUGAUUAUGUGAUAAACACAAUAUUUACCAAUAAAAAAUAGCUGAGAUGGACUUCAUUCUCACCUCUAUAUAUGAGAUUUUCACUGAAUUUGGCUUUCCUCUAUUUUCAGACCAAAAGUUUGCAUUACUUUCAGUCAACACAUCUAUAAACACAGCUUUUGAUAGUGUCUUCAUAUAUUUGCAUGUGAUUUUGUGGGAGCAUCCUGAAUUUUAGAUUGUGAUAUUUAUUGUGUACUCAGAGAAUAUUCCGCUGCACUGGGUCACAUUUGUGUUGAUGGUGAACUAAACUUGUUGAAAAAUCCUUGCAGAUUCUGUUGUUCAAUUGUAUGUCGGUGCGAGAUCCUCAGUUGCUUCUUCCUAGCCUGAUGAAAACUUGUGCCAGACAUGGUGAGUGCAAGUCAUCUUUUAGAGUUAUUCUCCUACGUUUUUUUAGAACAUGUAGGACUCAUAUAUGGUUGAAGUACUUGGUAGUUUAUUACUGUAUUUUACAGAAAAGAAAAGAAGAUAUUUGAUUUUUAUUUUGAUGGUAUUUAUCACGUUGGUUUAGCUUAAACAUCUCAUUGUAACUGUAGGUGUUUACUUCAAGAAGGCUCUGUUUGUGCCAAAUGCAUCAGUGUACAAUAAGGUUGGAUCCCAUGCUUUACCGCCAACUGAGACUCAAAUCGAUCUGUCCUGGCAGUUUGCUCUUCAAAGAGUGUGGGAAAACCUCAUGCUGGGUGAUAAAGGUAUCAAUUAUAUGUGCGGUACCCAUCGUUGUGAUAAUCAUAUUGCAUCAGCCUGAACUGGUGAAAUAUCUCGCGAUUUUCCUUAAUAGAAAUAAGUAGUUUAUCUAAAGCCAGCUGUUUUUGUUUUAUCUAUGAAAAUGUUAUUUUUUGAACUCAUUUGCAGGGGAGGCCAAGAAUACAGAUAAUGCAUCUGAAGAUGUAAAAGACGACACAGAAUUGAGUGCUAGGAGCUGUGAAAACAGUGCAGUCUUUUCUUCUCUGCCACUGGCUAUUAAAUGGCUCAGGGACAGUGUCCAACAGAAUCAGUCUCUUCGUUUUCAGGUAACCGUUGUCGUCAUGUAAGGUCUCUGUAUUGGAUUUACAUUAUUAUCAAUCAAAAUUUUCUCUUCAAUUAUCAGGUCCUUGUAACUGGUUCGCUUCAUCUCAUUGGUGAUGUGCUGAAAAUAGUGAAGAAGUGAGUGGGAGUGACAAAAGUCCAUGUUCAUUAACGGCAAGUUUCUCUUCAGAUCAUCUUGAUGCAAUUCAUGUCAGCAACAUGGGGCAAAUGACAAACACAUUCGUUGGUCAAGAAAACGUAUUCAAUUAAUUUUAACCCGACGGCAGCAUACAAUUUCUCCGAAAGAUUUACAGCUUCGUAGGGCCUGUACUUCAUUAGAAGAUGACAAAAUUUUUACCGACACUUGAAAGUUGUUCACUUGAGAAAAAAAGAUUUUGUAAUUGAUACCGCUGUUGGUUCAAGGAGUUGCAAGUUAUUGGAGAGAUUACAAUUCGAUGGCUCAUAGUAUUAUUAGUACAUCAUCACACAUGCAAAAGACAAACUUAUGCCACUUCUCUGCGGGCGUAUUUAAUCGUGUGUCGUCUCAACCACAGCUGAUACAUCACCAUAUGAAACGCAUCGUACGGCUGUGGUUGCUCAUUCCAGACAAAGUGCUUACCCGCCGUUACACCCAAUUCCCUCACCUCCCCGUACCUGUCAUCCCCACCACACGUGCGAUACAACACGCGCUUCAACUCCUGCACCGUAACCCCGGCCCGGCCUUUAUUCCAUCCCACAAACACCGCCAUCUCCUGCCACCUCAGCACGUCCAUCAACGGCAGGUCCUGGAUCGGACAAAAACAGGAAGUAAUCUUAAAAGAUUUUACAUACCCAAAAAAAUAAAAAAGAAGUAAUCUUACACGAUUUAUAAAAUUAUAUAUACAUCAAAAUAAAUUUUCAUCUCAUACUGUUCAAACCCUAGAAAAAAAAAUUAAACCUUAACCUUAUCUCUUUCUUUAUUCCCCAUCUCAAUCACCAUGAACAAUAACAACAACAAUAGCAACAAUAUUGAUCCCAACAACAAAAAGAAGAUAACAAAGGGGAGGCAAAAGAUUCAAAUCAAGAAACUUGAAGACAAAAAUAGCCUGCAAGUAACCUUCUCGAAGCGCCGGUCUGGCCUUUUUAGCAAAGCCAUGGAGCUAUGCGUCUUGUGUGGUGCUGAAGUAGGUAUCGUUGUGUUUUCUCCCAAUGGGAAGAUCUUCCUCGCCGGCCAUCCUGACUUUGACAAGAUUUUGAAUCGUUAUCUCGACCAAAAUCACUCGUCUCUAGACGAAGUUAACGCGAUACCAUGUGUACAACAACAUAACAAAGAGUAUGAAGAUGCCACACAAGAGUUGGAGAAUGAGAAGAAGAGGAGGAAGAUGAUUGAAGAGGAGAAAAAAAAGAAUAAAAAUAAUGGUAGGUUCUGGUGGCAAGAGGGUAAUAUUGUUGAUGAUAUGGGAAUUGAAGAGGUUGAAGAGUACUUAAAGGCUAUGAAGAAAUUGAAAGGGAAGGUUGAAAUGAGGGUUAAUGAAAUGAUGAUGGAUGAAUAUUUGGUGCCUAAUAUGAAUUUGGGGAAUGAUCAUUCAGAUGUGUUUGGUAAUAUUAAUGUUAAUGUUAAUGAAAAUAUUAGUGUUAGUGGAGGAAUUGAUGGAGGAGUUGAUUUUGAUUUUGGUUUCGGUGAGCAUUUUAAUUAGAAUGCAACGUGAGAGAUAGAUUGAUAAUAAAUAAUGUUUUUAAUGUUUAACAUUUAUUUUUAUUUUUGUUUUAAGUUUGAAUAAUAUUUCUGAUUUUGUUAUUUUCUUAUGAAUUAAAUGAUUAGAAAUAAAAAUAUAAAAUUUAUUACUUUACAAGUUGCUCAUAAUAUAUAUAUUUUCUAAUGAAAUAAAAUUUUAUGCAUGAAUUGAAAAGGAUUUUAUUAUAAAAAUAGAUUGUUUGGUGAUUGUUUCAAUAGUACUAUCACUGGAUCUUUUUUUCUAUUAUUUCUUUCCGCCAUAUCUUGAAUAGCGGGUUGGUUACACCUACAACCGAAGUGGAAACCGAGCGUUUCGUGGUUCAAAAAUGCCGAAUCUCGUCUGAAUCAUCAUUUGUCAGGACUGUUCGGAGUAAGUUCCUUGGCUUGGACAGGGCAUUUAUCAUAUGACUUUUGUUUUAUCAAUUAAUCUUGAUCUAAUGCUGGAGAAGAUAAGAAAAUAUCAUUGUGGAGGAAGAAUGGGGAGAGCAUGGGAACAAUUCCGGUAGCUGGUACAGAUAGCGGAGACAAUAUUGAGGUAAUCCUCUUCUAGCUCUGAUCUACCAUCAAUCGAAGCAUUAAAUUUGAAGCAUGUGGGUUUGUGUAUGUGUACUUCUAACACCAGUCAUUCUAUCUUCUAGAGAUUCAAUGACAGAACAGUGCAUGUUCGAUUGCACGCCAGCAAUGGCUCACCCGAAGCCACUUUUUAAGCAGUUGUCUUCUGUGUGGGAAAGGUUUUGAACUUUAAUUGUUUUUUCCCCUGAAUUUGUCAUUCAUUCUGCCAGCUUCAGUUGCUUGUGGUAAACUAAAGAUCCACAUUUUCCAGUAAAUGGGCUUUAUAGGUCUAAAGUAUCAACUUAUUUUUGGGAAUUUUUCUCAUAUUUUCAGGAAUCAAUAUUGGCUAUUAGUUUUAGCAACAAGGGAUCCAGAUAUAUAUGUUCUGGGGGAAGCAGUCAAGUUGUAAGAAUAUGGGACCUUCAGAGGAAACACUGAAUCAAAUGGUUGAGGGGUCAUACCAAUACUAUAAUAGGUGCAAUGUACAAUUGCAAAUAUGAGCACUUGGCUUCUAUCAGUUUAAGUGGGGACCUUAUUCUCCAUAACCUUGCAUUGGGAGCAAAGGCUGCUGAACUCAAGGAUCCUAAUGAACAGGUUGUUUCGGUUCUUGCAGCUGGGUUGUAUUCUAGUGUUUAUGACCAAGAGUCUCUGCUGCCCAAGCUAAUUGUUUGUCUGAUGGAUUUAAGGCCAGGUACUGAGGGUGCUUGAUUAUUCACGGAAUAGUCGACACCUCUUGGUGACUGCAGGUGAUGAUGGGACUUUACAUUUGUGGGAUACUACUGGGCGUAGCCCAAAGGUAUUCAGUAUUUCCAUUAUUGGGUUCGGAAACAUGUACAUACUAUGGGACGUCUGAUGUGGUUUAAUGAAUUGUAUGCAUAAGAAGAGUUUCAUUUAACUUAUUGAAUGCCGUGCUUACCUUGGUCCUUUCAAAGCUAGAUUUCAAAUCCUUUGUUAGAAAAAUCCUGAUGAUUUUGUGCUUGUGUCGUCAUAGUUAUUGUUCAGUAAUUGUAAUUUUGAAUGAGAUGUGGCAGCACAGAAUUUGAGAAAGUACAUCCAGAAGUCAAGAUGAUUUCCUUUAAUUUAGCAAAUGUUUUUAUUCCAAAUAAUAUUUAGAUGUUGAAUUAGGCUGCUCCCUACCUUGAAAUAUUUCAGAUAUGGUCAUCAUCUUUUCUGAUAGGGGAUCUGCUGCUUAUCAUGGAAACAUUCGACUUACACUAUGGUCAAGCCAUUCAUGCAUCUUUCUAAUAUCCUCUUUUUCUUCCACUCAUCAGAUUUUUGGCGUUGGCCAGUAAUAGGGGGGUUGGUUAAAAAUGGGGUAGAGAAAUUUUUGACAUGCUCUCUUCUGUUUUGGGUUCAUUAGUAUUAUCAUGUCCAAUAUUAAUUCCUCGUCACACCGUAGAUGCCCUUGUUUUAGGUUUGAAACAAUUUUUCAGGAUCAUAAUAAUCACUUUUCUGCUUACAGGUUUCUUGGUUGAAACAGCAUUCUGCACCAACUGCUGGGAUUAGCUUCUCAUCCGAUGAUAAGGUAUAGUCUUUAUCUUAUUAACUCGGAACCUUUUUGCAAUAAAUUGACAGAGACGUAAGAAGGUGAAUAUAUCAUGCUCUGAAACAGUCCCGUAUGGGGUCAUCCAGUGAAAGUAAUUAAACGUUAUUUUACCUAAUGUUCUCCUUGUGACAGAUAGUUGCUAGUGUUCGACUGGAUAAGAAGCUAUACACUUAUGACCCAGGGUCUAGAAGACCCCCAUCUUGCAUCACAUAUGAGGCACCUUUCUCUUCGUUAGCAUUUAUAGAUGAUGAUUGGAUAUUGACAGCAGGAACAAGUAAUGGCCAUGUGGUGUUCUAUGAUAUUCGCGGCAAACCACAGCCGUUAACUGUUCUUCGUGCUUGUAGUAGUUCAGAGGUGACUUCUUUACUUGUGUAUGUAUUUUAAUAUAGAAUCCCAGAAUUUGCAAAUGUCUCUUUAAUGUUGUUUUUCUUGUAGCAAUUGCUUGUGACAUCAACAUGUUGUAAUCAGUUUUGGCUUGUGUGUAUAUUAUUUUUUGAGUGUAUUAAACUAUGUGUUGACGUAUUCAUUAUUAACAUGCUAAGGUUUCAUUUUACUGUAUAAGAGGCCUUUCUCUUGUUGACCUAAGGUUCAGGUUGAUGUUGUUUGCCUUAUUUUUUGUUUGUGGAGUUCGGAGAAUUAAAAUCAUGUUUUUGCAGUCUAUAUAAAUACUAAGUAUUUGAAGUGUUUAUAAGGCUGUGUCAAGUUUGUGCUGGCAAAGAGCAAAGCCAGUUUUUAUUGAUGAGACUACUUGCAAAGCUGAGACUGCUCUCCUAGGAGAUGCUGUCGGGGACUCUAUUCUUAUGCCUGACCCACAUCCCUCGGUGACAUCAUCAAGUGUUUCACUGUCCACUGCAGUAUCCGGUUCUCGUCGUAAUAGCCAUUCAGGUCCUUCUGCAGAAGCAUCUUCUCUUACUGUGGGUGGUACUGGUUCUGUAUCUAGGACCCAAAGUCUGCCUUCAGGAGAGGAAACACCACAACGUAGCUAUCUCCGUCCAGGCGGACCAUUGGCAAGAUUACAUGCCCCUCGAUCUAGUUAUAAUUUUAAGGAUGAUAUGGAAGUGUUUUCCCCUCUUGUUGAUGUUCAGCCAAUUACACCAUCACUUGAUAAACUGUGGGAUGGUCAUGGAGGAGCAAAGAAAGAUCAUCUACCCAUUGACAAGAAGCCUUCAUCCAUGUUGUUUCCUUCAUCCAGCAGGAGAUUCCCUUACGCAGAGGAUGGUGCAAAUGAGCACUCAGUAUUUGAUUGGAAAUCUAGUUCAACAUCUAAACAGGUUUGUCCUCAUUUCAGUUUUGUUUCCGGAUGCUUCCUGCAAUGUGUGAAUAUUUAUUUCUUUCUUCUGGGUGUAAGAUAUUAAUUUCAACCUUUAGCACACUUUUAUUUUGGUGUAGCUACUUUGGCGAGUACUCUAAAUAUACACUGUUGGAAGAAGACAACAGCUGUUUUCUACAUCGUACUGGACGUUUGGCAUAGUGUCAAAAUAUUCUCAAAGGCAAUAAUUCAACUGCCUUUGGGUCUUAGAAGUCAUGAGAUUUUUUGCCGUCCAAGUUAGCUUCUGUUUUCUCAUGGUUUCUUUGUUUUUAAUCUUAAUCGCAUGUUAGGGGAGAUAUGAAUGUGAAUUGGCUACAAUCUUGUAUGUAUGGUCAGUUAUUUUAGAUAUUUUAUGCAUAGCUCAGGUAAAUUGGAUUGUUCUCCAGAACUUGAUGUGUUUUCAAUUUCUUCGUGGCAUUGCAUUUAUGUUUGUCUUUUUGCAGGAUGAUGCCAGAUCUUUUGCGCUAUUGGGAUCAACACCUUCUCCAUCUUCCAAGAGCGAAGACUCUUCCAUCACUCCUCCAGAAGCCUGGGGUGGUGAGAAAUUAUCUGACAAAUUUGCCCUCCUCCGUCAGCCACUCAAUAUGCCAUCUCGUUAUGGGAUGUCAACUUCUAGUGGUCUCACAUCAAGUUCAAUGUAUUCUGGACUGCAAGAUGUGUCACCGGGUCAGACAAGUAUUAUCUAAUUGACAGAUUCUAACCUGAGCCGUGAAAACCUGCGUACCAAAGAUGUCACUUCAUAUCAGGAGACUUCGUCUUUGGGAUUUCCAGAACACCUCUCAUCUAGUUUCCCAUCUCUGUCUCUUGGUACAAAAGGCAUCCUGGGAUCAGGUAACCUUGACUCAUCGAGAACGUCAUCUUUAACAUUGACUCACCGAGAACCUCGAAGGACGUAUGCUGAGAGAAUUAGCACUACUUCUGGGACAUCCCUUUCAGUCGGUUCACCUAAAACAAAGAAAACAGGAGCAGAAACCAAGGAAGAACUUUUAAGUAACUUCUUAUCGAGGUCUGACACAUCAGCUGUAGUAGAACCUGAAAUUCCUCCAGCUAUAAAUGUAAGAAUCCCGAUUUAUUCAGUAAUUGUUUGCGGUCAUAUUUGAACAUCUGCUGUGCUUUUGUAGAAAAGUUCCAGCAUGAUUAAAUCCUAUUUCAAUGCUUUGUCACCACCCAAGCCUUCACUAAUACUGGCUAAAUAUGGAUUUGAUAAGUUUAGGACAGUCUGUGCUGUGUUGAUUGAAACCGCUAAGUGGUAAUUGCAUAAUGAAUCCUUGACUUUUAACUUUGAGAGAUGUAAUGACACUAACCUUCUUCCGCUUUAAAUCAGAUUAUAAUGGAUGUUGAUUUAUUCACGGGGUGGAAUGUCGCAAUCCCUAAAAAGCCCUCAGCCAGAUCCACCACAGGGCAGUAACUUCACACUUCAGCUCUUUCAACGUACACUUGAAGAAAGUCUUGAUUCAUUUCAGAAAUCCAUACAUGAAGAUAUGAGGAACCUUCAUAUUGAAAUUCUAAGGCAAUUCCAUAUUCAGAAGGUAUGUAUGUGUAAUGUGUUGUACUCUUGAUUUUCCGUUAGUUUUCCAAAAUUUUUUGUCUCACAUAUAAUUAUCACAAUACUGUUACAGACUCAAAUGUGAAUGUGAUGAGCUCAAUUCUUGAAAACCAAGCCGAGCUGAUGAAGGAAAUUAAGUCUCUGAGGAAAGAAAAGCAGCAGCUCCACCAACUGCUUUGAACACGGGUGAAGAUGUAUCUUCUUGUUUAUUUAUUUAUUUGUCAUAGUUUGUUUUUACUCAGUUCCCCUGCCUGGUGGCCUUUGUUUUUAUAGCUAAUUACAAUCGUAUUAGCUAGGAUACAUAUUGUUCUGAAAGUUCCUUUCCUUCAUUUCCAAUCGUAUCAGGCCAUCUACGUGCUAGGAUACAUAUUGUUCUGAAAGUUCUAACAGGCAUAACAAACUUCAUUUUUCAGGUUUAGAAAUCUGUAGUUUGCGGCAUUUCUUCCCUAGGGUAUGACCACAUGGAGAUUCUUGGUUAGUUCUAUUAUUCCUUAUAUUUAGGUAAUUGCUCAUAUUUACUCAAUGUGUAAAUAGUAAGCAGAGCUUAAUAUAGUGCAUCACUACAUUCUAAAUUCUAUUAGAACUUUCUGUCAAAUGCUGCAAUAGGUGCAGACAUGUUCUGGUCUUGAUUUAUGUAGAAAAUGGUCAUUACAGCAGAUAAGAGAAUGAUUUGUGCCAUACUAUUCUAGUUCAGUGUUACUCACACUGAGGUUCCAACCAAAGAGUGUUGCCUGAAUUAGUAUCUGGCAUGAGUCCAUGCCAUUAUUUUAAUUGAUGACUGAUACGUGGAUUUGUUGAAAGUUUACUUUUAAAUUCCCUUUCAAGGCUACUUGUUGAUAUGUAGAUGUGCCUUGAUGACCUAAGAGUUUAAACUAACUUGUGGAAUCCAUACUUUAAUGAUGACAUGAAUUCUCAACAACUGAUUUUUGGGAUAGUCAUAGUCAGUAUCUUCAACAUUUGGAGUUUUUAGCUUCCAAAGGCAUCCAAGCUUAAAUGAUAGCAUAAAAAUUAUCGGAAAAGCACACUCGAAACUUGAACGUAUUAGAUGCUCUCCAAAACUAUGCUCUCUGAUGAUUAUUUCGGCUUAUAAUAAUUGAAAUUUCAUUUCUUUUGUUGGCUGCUAAAAACAGGAAAUACACUUGGAGAAAUUGCUGGGGAGAAGGCUGGUAUCUUUAAGGUUUAUACAGAUUACCAUUUACUCAGAAAAAUCUAUGCGAGUAGUAUAUGCUUUUUCCAGGCAACAGAGUUGGGAGUUUCCUUUAAUACUUUUCUUCAUUCCCUUUCUGUUUCCUGAUGCAGUAUGGAGUUCCUGCUUUUACUGUACCUCAGCCUGAAGAGGCAAUGCGUGUACUUGAAGAGACUGCUUCCAAGUUGGAUGUAGGUUGCAUUUUCUUUCAUGAAUGAGUUUGUUUUCGUGCACAAAUGGAAAAUGCAUGACUCAAAACUUAGCUGACAGUUAGUAAGAUUGACUUGUGUAAGUCAAUUUGAUGAUCAUGCUAAGCUAAAACUGAGAUAUCAAUCAAAAAUCAGUUUGUGUUCUGGUACAUAAAAUGCGAAACUGGGUUUACAAUACUGAUUUAGUGGUAGCAUUUUCUUAGACCUCAUCAGGCUUCCCGGUGGUUUAAAUCGCAAGUCCAACUGCAUUCUUACUUGAUAUUAUGAUUUUGAGGGUUGAUACGCUUAGGAUUUUGAAGAAUUGGCAAGUCGUAUACAACCUGGUAUAUAUGGUUUUGAGGCAUUUUGUUUUACAAAUUAUGUCUCUUUCAUCUGCUCCACCAAGGUAGUUCUAAGAGUAUCUUAUCCAGUUGUCUGAUCUUAAUUUAAGUUGGGGCCUCUAAUUGUUGAAGGCUCUAAAAUAAGUGAACCCUGACAUUGUAUCAUGUAAAAACUUGAUACUUCUGAUUUUUCUGAUAUAAUCAGGUUAUGCUGCAUUUUAGAAAAGAAUGAUAAGUUUGCCUUCACUGAGCACUGAGAAAAUCAUACUGAUGACAG
rnacentral:lncRNA from 1 species